AUAACAUGUUGAACCGCAUGGUUCUACAGUGAAAGACGGUCUUGCUGUCACUUAUAGAUGGACCCGCGCCGUAUUAGCUAGUUGGUGGGGUAACGGCCUACCAAGGCGACGAUACGUAGCCGACCUGAGAGGGUGAUCGGCCACACUGGAACUGAGACACGGUCCAGACUCCUACGGGAGGCAGCAGUAGGGAAUCUUCCGCAAUGGGCGAAAGCCUGACGGAGCAACGCCGCGUGAGUGAUGAAGGUCUUCGGAUCGUAAAGCUCUGUUGUUAGGGAAGAACAAAUGUGUAAGUAACUGUGCACAUCUUGACGGUACCUAACCAGAAAGCCACGGCUAACUACGUGCCAGCAGCCGCGGUAAUACGUAGGUGGCAAGCGUUAUCCGGAAUUAUUGGGCGUAAAGCGCGCGUAGGCGGUUUUUUAAGUCUGAUGUGAAAGCCCACGGCUCAACCGUGGAGGGUCAUUGGAAACUGGAAAACUUGAGUGCAGAAGAGGAAAGUGGAAUUCCAUGUGUAGCGGUGAAAUGCGCAGAGAUAUGGAGGAACACCAGUGGCGAAGGCGGCUUUCUGGUCUGCAACUGACGCUGAUGUGCGAAAGCGUGGGGAUCAAACAGGAUUAGAUACCCUGGUAGUCCACGCCGUAAACGAUGAGUGCUAAGUGUUAGGGGGUUUCCGCCCCUUAGUGCUGCAGCUAACGCAUUAAGCACUCCGCCUGGGGAGUACGGUCGCAAGACUGAAACUCAAAGGAAUUGACGGGGACCCGCACAAGCGGUGGAGCAUGUGGUUUAAUUCGAAGCAACGCGAAGAACCUUACCAAAUCUUGACAUCCUUUGACCGCUCUAGAGAUAGAGUUUUCCUCUUCGGAGGACAAAGUGACAGGUGGUGCAUGGUUGUCGUCAGCUCGUGUCGUGAGAUGUUGGGUUAAGUCCCGCAACGAGCGCAACCCUUGAACUUAGUUGCCAUCAUUCAGUUGGGCACUCUAAGUUGACUGCCGGUGACAAACCGGAGGAAGGUGGGGAUGACGUCAAAUCAUCAUGCCCCUUAUGAUUUGGGCUACACACGUGCUACAAUGGACAAUACAAAGGGCAGCGAAACCGCGAGGUCAAGCAAAUCCCAUAAAGUUGUUCUCAGUUCGGAUUGUAGUCUGCAACUCGACUACAUGAAGCUGGAAUCGCUAGUAAUCGUAGAUCAGCAUGCUACGGUGAAUACGUUCCCGGGUCUUGUACACACCGCCCGUCACACCACGAGAGUUUGUAACACCCGAAGCCGGUGGAGUAACCAUUUUGGAGCUAGCCGUCGAAGGUGGGACAAAUGAUUGGGGUGAAGUCGUAACAAGGUAGCCGUAUCGGAAGGUGCGGCUGGAUCACCUCCUUUCUA
rnacentral:rRNA from 1 species